rnacentral:lncRNA from 1 species
AUGAGCCACAGCCGCUGCCCACCGCACUGGGUGAUGUGCAGGGGGAUCCUCAGGAAGGUGGGUGGGUUGGGUGCCCUCUGGCCCCCAAGCCAAGGGACAGACCUAGGUGCUGAUCAGGAGGGUGUGGGGGACAGGAUGGGGACCCCCACCAGCACCUCAGCCCCAGAUGGGGUGGGGAUGAGGUGGGGGCGUGAGGAAAGGACAAAAGUGACCCAGCUACUCCUUAUCCCCCUUGGGGUGGCAGACGGCUGCCCACACCUCGGCCACGAACUCCGGGGGGAAGGCGAACUCGCCCAGCACCGAGUCCAGCCCCUGGGCAAGCUGGGCCACGCUGGGGCUGCCCUUGGCAGCCUCCACCAUCGUCGAGGCUGUUGGGGAGAAGAGGGAGGUCAGGGCCAGUGGGAGGGGCUGGGACAGGAUCAGGGGCUGAGUCAGGGUCUGGGGGCAGGAGCUGCAUCAGGAGGAGGAGCUGGGUCAGUGCGAUGCUGGGGAAGGGGCAGGGGCAGGUCAAUGGUAGGGGUAGGGGCAGGGUCAGCUACAGGUGAGGCUCUGGGCCCCCUCCUCACCCAGCUCGCUGUCGCGGAUGCCCAUGUAACUCUCCAGCAGAUCGUCCACCCGCCGGGCAUCCUCUUCCUCGGAGGGGCUGGGCUGGGGGCGAGGCGGCCGGGGGUGAGUGCCGGGCAGCGCACGGAGCACCCAGGGGCGCGGGGAUGCUUAUGGCCACCCUGGCACAGGGUGAGCCGCCACAGGCUCGGGAUGGGGGACUCGGGUGGGCCUUACCCCCUCCUCCAGCACGGCCGGCCCCUGUGUCCGCAGCCGCAGCGUUUCCUUCCCGCUGGCCACUCUGCCUUCGCCUGGGGAUUUGCCCGUCCGUGUCCGCUGGCCGAUCAUGUCUGUGCCCCGGGUGGGGGUGAGGCACUGGCAGGACCGGGCAUCCCCUGCCCCUUGCUGCUCAUGCCCGGCCAUCCCCCUACCCACCAGGGGCACUGCAGAGUGAGCCGUGUGUGGGACGGGGUGGGGUGUCAGGGGCACCCAGGGGUGCAGGCGGGGGGAUGCUCGUGGUUAUGGGGUGCUCAUGGAUGCUCUAGGCAACGCUCACAGAGCAAGGGGGUGCCCACGGGGUGGGCAGGUGUGGGUGCCCCAGGGCAGUGUGUACACACACAUAGUGGGGGUGCAGAGGGGGCAGUAAACCCUGGGACGCACUCGGUCACUGGGGAGGGGCUGCAGGGCCACAGGGGGCUGGGGACAAUCCCAGGGUCCCCAGGGCAAGAGCAGAGGGACCUUCCCAACUCACCAAAGGCCUUUUUCGGCUGGACCAGGCGGAGGGUGAAGGGCUGA